GAGUUUGAUCCUGGCUCAGAUUGAACGCUGGCGGCAUGCUUUACACAUGCAAGUCGAACGGCAGCACAGGGAGCUUGCUCCUGGGUGGCGAGUGGCGAACGGGUGAGUAAUGUAUCGGAACGUGCCUGGUAGUGGGGGAUAACCACUCGAAAGAGUGGCUAAUACCGCAUGAGAUCUCUGGAUGAAAGCGGGGGACCUUUGGGCCUCGCGCUACUGGAGCGGCCGAUAUCAGAUUAGGUUGUUGGUGGGGUAAAGGCCUACCAAGCCUGCGAUCUGUAGCUGGUCUGAGAGGACGACCAGCCACACUGGGACUGAGACACGGCCCAGACUCCUACGGGAGGCAGCAGUGGGGAAUUUUGGACAAUGGGCGCAAGCCUGAUCCAGCAAUGCCGCGUGCAGGACGAAGGCCUUCGGGUUGUAAACUGCUUUUGUACAGAACGAAAAGUCUCUGGCUAAUAUCUGGAGAUUCA
rnacentral:rRNA from 1 species